rnacentral:lncRNA from 1 species
CCUAUUCUUGCUAUUCAUUUCAUAGGGACUUUUCAAACACCUCCCAUUCCAAGACGGGUGGGUAUGCGACAGCACACCACUCUCGAGGUCUCCGCAUCCAUCCGAGAGGUAGGGGAGUAUCCAACCAUCGAGCCAAAAUAUCACCAUAAUGGGAGCAUCUUCUAUCGCAUCUUCAUCGACAGGGAAUGCUGGAGGAGAUCAUAUUGGGCACACCUGGUAGCACUAUCUGUUAUUUGCAGAGGGCUUUGAGCAUAGUGGAGAAGAGAUGGGCAUUGAAACAUACUUAGGGCUCGAGAAGUUUAUCAGGAAGAAAGGAACAAUCCAGAAAGAUUCCCAAUGUCACACGUGGUGCAUAAAGGAUCACUUGGCGCAAACAAUGCAUGCAGAAUGAAGAUAUUGCAUGUC